rnacentral:rRNA from 1 species
GACGAACCGUGCGAACGUUGUUCGGAAUCACUGGGCUUAAAGGGCGCGUAGGCGGGUGACCAAGUCCGGGGUGAAAUCUUUCGGCUUAACCGGAAAAGUGCCUUGGAUACUGGUCGCCUGGAGGGAGGUAGGGGCAUGUGGAACUUCCGGUGGAGCGGUGAAAUGCGUUGAUAUCGGAAGGAACGCCGGUGGCGAAAGCGACGUGCUGGCCCUCUUCUGACGCUGAGGCGCGAAAGCCAGGGGAGCGAACGGG